rnacentral:rRNA from 1 species
AAACAUAGCUUCCGGAACUUAUAGGAAGUGACGUCUGCCCGGUGACCGUMKGSUUKMWYKGMYSYGWKUUCRWRCYRRRGWAGCAUAACCAUUUGCCUUUUUAUUGGAGGCCAGAUAUGAAUGGAUUAACGAGGCUUGACUGUCUCUAUUUAUAUUAUUGAAAUUUAUUUUUAGGUGAAAAAUCCUUGAUUCUUUUGUAGGACGAGAAGACCCUAUCGAGUUUGUAGUGUAGUUGAAGAAUAGCUAAAUAACUAUUAUUUUAAAAUUUCAUUUUUUGAUACACUUUUAUUGGGGCAAUAAGAGAACAGUAAAAAAUUCUUAUUUCUUUGUGAAUAGUUUAUGUUUAUAAUAGUAAAUUAUAAAAUCCUUAAAAAGAGUAUAAAUAAACUACCUUAGGGAUAACAGCGUAAUCCUUCCAGAGAGGUCUAAUCGAAGGGGGGGUUUGCGACCUCGAUGUUGGACUAAGGGAUCCUUAAAGUGCAGAAGCUUUAAAGUGUAGGCCUGUUCGGCCUUUAAUACCUUACAUGAUCUGAGUUCAAACCGGAGA